rnacentral:rRNA from 1 species
CAAUAGCGUAUAUUAAAGUUGUUGCAGUUAAAAAGCUCGUGGUUGGAUUUCUGAUCGAGACAUCAGGUCGGGUCCGAGAGGAUCAUGUACUUUGAUUUUGUUUUGAUCAUCCUUGGGGAGAGCAUUUCUGGCAUUCAGUUGUCGGGAUUGGGAUCCUCAUCGUUUACUGUGAAAAAAUUAGAGUGUUCAAAGCAGGCCUCGGCCUCUGAAUACAUUAGCAUGGAAUAAUAAGAUAGGACUUUGGUGGUCUAUUUUGUUGGUUUGCACGCCAAAGUAAUGAUUAAUAGGGAUAGUUGGGGGUAUUCGUAUUCAAUUGUCAGAGGUGAAAUUCUUGGAUUUAUGGAAGACGAACUACUGCGAAAGCAUUUACCAAGGAUGUUUUCAUUAA